GCUUUGGACUGUUUCCUAUUGGAUAACAACUGCUUCGUCAUCGUAUCCAGCAAUCGCAGUCAAGUAGGAAAAUUUUUCGGUGAGAUAGACGACACGCUGUUCCUGUCAAUGGUCAAGUACAACGUUUACAAGAGGGUGAGAAUAUACAACUACCAAGCUAUCUGCAAAGACAAUAACACACCGUCUGGACCCGCAAACUUUCGGACAAGU